UUGGGUUAAGAGGCAUGCGUCUAAAAUGG
rnacentral:piRNA from 1 species